AGGGUCACAACCUAUGCCUAACCAACGGGGAUGCAUAUGUAUUGAAUAUUCCCUGUGAGAGCCCCGAGCACACAAUGCCCUUUCAGCCAGAGUGCAGGAAAGCGGCGGUUUAACCGAUUGCUUGGUUAACCACACAAAGAGGCCGAAUCGACACUGAUAAAGAAAUGAGUAAAAAUAAAUGCGACCAACUACUCAUACUAGUGCGAACAAAAGCGAGACUCCACCUCGUCCCGUCCCGUACCGUCCCGGACGAAAUGUUGCCAAAUGAAACCGGUUCGAAAUGGGAAAAUUAUGCGCUGCCGUCGAUGUGGACCCGCACCAUGCAUAGCCACCGGUUUUGGAGCGUCAAUGGUCUCAACGGGACAGUAUAAAUAUUUAUGAUUUCUUUUCUAACGCUACCGCCAAGCCCAACCAGCCGAUCGGAUCGGAUCAGUCCGCGCCGCGAACAAGUUAUUUUCGCCGAUAGCACUGUAUUGUUGACUUGACUUGAUCUCCCAGAUGGCAGCUUCGUGCGUAAUUCGCUGACCUUGACUUCCAUUCGAGAGGAAAAGUGAUACCUCCGGUAGGGCCAUUCUGGCUGAAAACCAGUCCGCCAGACCAGAGAAGGUAUGGGAGGUAGCAGCGGCAAGCGGCGUAGAUGCUCAAACCUUUCUCGAGAGCUUUGGGCUGUAACUGACACAAUUAAAAACAAAUUUCUUGGUUUUACUAGUGCUGCUAUUGAAUCUAAUUCUGUUCAAACAUAAAUAUUUUAACAAUUGCGGAACACGUCAGCGAUGUUUGUCAACUAAAAAAUAUCCAGCUUUUUCUACACUUGUCACAAUAUGUACUUGGAAAUUCCGAAUGCCUGAUGACCAAAAUAAAGGGUUAGACGCAGUCCAACAGCCUUACAGGCACAGUCGUACGCUGGGCUCAUGAGUGGUGUUGGUGGUGCUGUUGGUUGUAUUGGUAACCAGAAGUCUAGACUCGACCCCGUCUGGAUGGCCUUGCAGCUGGAUCGGCCUCUUACCUUUUACUUGCACCCAGCUUCGUCCGCGGAAGGGGGCUGCUGUCUACUUGGAUCGGCGUUCGGUUGUCGGUUGAGAAGUUUCCACUUGUACAAUGCUGAAUUAAUUAAGCACGGAACUGCUUAGACUUUGGCAACAACUGCAA